UGCCGUGGUGGCCGAGGGGGUUGCCGCCCGGGUCACGGCGUUGGAGGGUGGGGUAUGCCCAACGCACCGACGUUCAUCCUCGUCCACGGCGCC
rnacentral:tRNA from 2 species